UACGUAGGGGGCAAGCGUUGUCCGGAUUUAUUGGGCGUAAAGAGCGUGUAGGCGGCCAUACAGGUCCGUUGUGAAAACUGGAGGCUUAACCUCCAGACGUCGAUGGAAACCGUAAUGGCUAGAGUCCGGGAAGCAGGAGAGUGGAAUCCUGGUGUAGCGGUGAAAUGACGCAGAUAUCAGGAGGAACACCGGUGGCGAAGGCGGGUCUCUGGGACGGAACUGACGCUGAGGCGCGAAAGCGUGGGGAGCAAACAGG
rnacentral:rRNA from 1 species